AGCAGCUCUCGCCGAUCCGAAGUUGUUUUGCUCCGACAAGCACCUAGAGGUUAAUUUCUUGAAGUGCCCCAUGAAAAGCGAUUAGCCUGGCUCCCGAGAAGUAUUUUCUAAUUACGUGCAAGCCCUCGCUCUGCUGCUACCCCAUAAUUAAACCUCUUCAAGGUGCUGCACUUCAAAUAUUUCGCUCCCGGGGCCGCUGCCAGGAGCCGAGAGCUCCGGCCCCCCGCACCCCCCACACCCCAAAACCCCAUCGCAGAGACACGCAACAAAUCACUGCGUCUCUCUCCCCCGGCAGUCACCACGCGCGGGGCAGCACCUCAGGGUUCCAGCACCGCUUUUUCUCGCCGGGCUGCGGGAGCUCCGCCAGCGGCUGCCCGGCGCGCAGGGCUUUAUCCUGGGGAGAAAAUCACUGCGGGGCACUGGGAGAGGCGCUUUAAGAACAGGGGUUGGGGCCGCCCGUUCCCGGUCCCCGUUCUCCUCGCAGUUCAACCCCGUAUAUUCUAACGGGGCUCACGUUGCUCCCGUGCCAGGCGCGAUGCGACACAUCCAGAGCGACUGGUGCUUCCGAGCAGGGCCGGGCCGGGUUGUCGGUGGCAUCUCCCCAGCAGCGUUACAGAGAUUUUCCCAUGGCCGCGGGUAAGGGCUCGGCUGCCGCUGACUCGCGGGACGCCGCCGGCUUUAUCCCAGCCGUUCCCCGGGGAGCGAACGAAUGAGGC
ensembl:lncRNA